UCGGCGUUGAAUCCAAUUGACCGCAGGCUUCACCCCUUGUGGUGCUCCCCCGCCAAUUCCUUUAAGUUCAUACUUGCGUACGUACUUCCCAGGCGGCGGACUUAACGGCUUCCCUGCGGCACUGCAUUGGCCACAAGCCAAUGCAUCACCGAGUCUGCAUCGUUUACAGCUGGGACUACCCGGGUAUCUAAUCCGGUUUGCUCCCCCAGCUUUCAUCCCUCACCGUCGAACGUGUUCUGGUACACCGCCUUCGCCACAGGUGGUCAUCAAUAGAUCAAAGGAUUUUACCCCUUCCUAUCGAGUACCGUGUACCUCUCCCACUCCCUAGCUGCACAGUAUUUUCGGCGGCCUAUACGUUAAGCGCAUAGAUUUAACCGAAAACUUAUGCAACCGGCUACGGAUGCUUUAGGCCCAAUAAACCUCCUGACCACUCGAGGCGCUGGUUUUACCGCGGCGGCUGACACCAGAACUUGCCCACCCCUUAUUCACCAGUGAUUCUACAACUGACAAAAGACUCCUUUAGCAGGAGACACUCGGAUUACCUUGUCGUGCUUUCGCACAUUGCAAAGGUUUCUCGCCCUG
rnacentral:rRNA from 1 species